CUUCCUGACACAAGUAAUCAAGAAUAGGCCGUGCAGGGUUAACCAGCCUAUCCUGGAUUACUUGAACCAGGCC
rnacentral:pre_miRNA from 18 species